rnacentral:rRNA from 1 species
UACAGAGGGGGCAAGCGUUAUUCGGAAUUAUUGGGCGUAAAGGGCUCGUAGGCGGUUUGUCACGUCGGGAGUGAAAACUCAGGGCUCAACCCUGAGCGUGCUUUCGAUACGGGCAGACUAGAGGUAUUCAGGGGAGAACGGAAUUCCUGGUGUAGCGGUGAAAUGCGCAGAUAUCAGGAGGAACACCGGUGGCGAAGGCGGUUCUCUGGGCCUUACCUGACGCUGAGGAGCGAAAGCGUGGGGAGCGAACAGG